rnacentral:misc_RNA from 1 species
GUUGAGUUCAGAGGGUAAUGCACGGAUACUAGAGUGGUGGGAAUGAGGCGAAGUGAAGAUGGGUUCACAGGAUAGUGCACAGAUACUGAAAAUGAAAAUCGCAGGAUUCAGAGCUCUUUUAGAUGAAAUACUUCAGAAAAUUAGUUUCUAAAGUUUCUCAAAAACUUUGAGAGCUUCGAAUGGCAAUGUAGUAAGACUGAAUCAGAGUUUAGAGUUUUUCCACGAUAAUCACCACCUCCCCCCUUUCUACAGUAUUGCAUGCAGGUAUU